UUUUUACUUUAUCAUUAAUUUUCAUUAAUUAUUUUUAUUUUGAGGUUUUGUUCGCACUUAGCGAGUUUAUAGUGCUAGAGUGAUAAAAAAUAAUUUACAUAACGAUAUAUAUAUAUAUAUAUGUAGUAAUGUGCAUGUUUACCUAAAAUAAAAGCUUUUUGUGCAUAUAAGUACUUAUAUAUACAUGCGUUAUCAUAUAAUCGUUUUAUGUACUGCUUGUAAAGUGAUAAUUAUACUUUGGAUGGGAAGGUAGUCUUUAUAUAUAUAUAUAUAUAACGUUUUAACUUAUCAAAAAAAAAAAAAAAAAAAAAAAAAAAAUUUAAGAAAAAAAAAAAAACGAAUAAGAUGUUUUUAUUUAGAAAAAACAAAAACACUGAUGCCACUGAUGCGAGAGCUGCUUUUAUACAAAAUUCCAAACAAGUUAAAAAUAAUAAGACGAGAAAGUAUGAAUUGGAGGUAAGUAACAAUGAGAGCACAUUUGGUGAUUCUUCAUUAGCAACAGAAAACACAUAUUAUGAAAGUGAGUUAGAUGAAAGUGAAUUAUAUGAGAGUGAAUUAAAUGCAAGUGAAUUAAAUGCAAGUGAAUUAAAUGCAAGUGAAUUAAAUGGAAGUGAAUUAGAUGAAAGUGGAAACAGUUUUUUAGAUGGAAGUUUUGUAAGUGAAAGGGAUGAGCUUGUAACAAAAAACGAAAUUAGAGGUGCCACCCCAAAAGAAAAUGUUAACAAUUCUUUUACUAGUANNNNNNNNNNNNNNNNNNNNNNNNNNNNNNNNNNNNNNNNNNNNNNNNNNNNNNNNNNNNNNNNNNNNNNNNNNNNNNNNNNNNNNNNNNNNNNNNNNNNUAAAAAUUAUAAUGAUAAUGUAAAAAAUACAUCUUCUAAAAAUACAAAUAAUAUAAAUCAUAUACAUAGCAAGCAAAAUGUUGAGGUUCAAAAUGAUAUAACGAUAUUGAAUAAUAAAUACUGUAACCAGAGUAAAUCAUUUUUAAACAAUUCGAACAAACUCGGAGAAAAACGAUAUAACUUAUCAUCGAAUGAAAAUAAACCAGAUGAAAAGUCAAAAGGAGAAGAAGUACUUGAAAAUUGUAAUUAUGACACCGAUAAAAAAAAAAAGACAAAUGAAGUUGAUACUAGACAGUAUGGUACUAGUCAAUAUGGUACUAGUCAAUAUGGUACUAGUCAAUAUGGUACUAGUCAGUAUGGUACUAGACAAAAUAGUAGUAGUCAGUUAAGUGGCAGUAGCCAGUUAAAUGGUGGUAGCCAGUUAAAUGGUGGUAGCCAGUUAAAUGGUGGUAGCCAGUUAAGUUGUGGUAGCCAGUUAAAUGGUAAUAGCCGGUUAAGUGGUAAUCGAAAUGAUAACAUGGAUGAUAGCUUAAGUAAUAGCAUGUGUGUCGAUUUAAGUAAUAGUAUUUGUGGCAGCGUAAGUAACAGUAUUAAUGAGAGUUUCAGUAGUAGUAUUGGUGAUAAUCUUUCUAAUAGUACUAGUAAUAGUAUUAAUAAUGUUAAUAACAACGCCAAUGAUAAACAUAAUUCCAUAAAUAUGUGUCCUACAUUUAAAUCAAAUGCUAAUAAAAUAGUUAGUUUUACAAAUCAUAGUGAUAAUUUGGAGUCAAAAAGUAAAAAUGACACUAAUAUAUAUAACGACAGUCCAUCAAUAAAAAAUGCUAAAAAAGAAGAUGUAGAAAAAAAUAAAACGGAAAAAUAUAAGCAUGCAAAUUCUAUAGAUGUGAAUAAAACAAUAAGUGAAACAGAAUCUUGCGUAAAAAAAAAUAACGAAGCAACAUAUUACAAUAAUAAUGGUACAAAGAAUGAAAAAAAAUUAACUAACGAAAUGUUAGAAAGUAAAGCAAAUAUUUUGAAGUCAUCUGAUAAAUAUAAUUAUGAAAAACCAACUAACAAUAUGAAUAGUAAAAUGGAUAGUAAAAUGAAUAGUAAAAACCUUUUAGACAGUAAAAACAGAAAUCAACAUCAAAUAAAUAGUAAUAUAAAUAAUUACAAUUUAAAUGAUAGUGGUAUAACAAAUAAAAGUAGUUUAACAACCCAUGAAAGUGGAAGAGAAGGUAAGCAAAAUAGACAAGCAACAAGUAAUAAUGAAAAUAAACCAAAUCGACAAAAUCAGGUAAGUCAAUCAAACCAGGUACUUAGAGAGGAAGGUACUAAUAAACCUGAAAAAAAUUUUACUUUCAAUCAAUCAAACAAAAGUCAUAUAAAAUAUAAUGAGAAUUAUGCAAAAGAAAAUAAUAAAAGCUUAACACAUAGAAGUAAUUCAAUAAGACACUCAAAAAGUGACAUAAACAAAAUUAAUGAUAUGGAUAACUCAGCUAAUCAUAUGACAGCAUCAAUUGAUAGCUUUGCAUCAGAAUUUUCAAACAAAAUAAACCAACUAAAUAAUAGCAUACUAAAAGAAAAUGAAAGUUUAAUGGGUUCACAAUCUAGCUUAGAUGUAUCUAUAUACAGCAUUUCAGAAUCAAAAAAUCAAACAGAUUUAAUGAAAAGCUCAUUAAUAUAUAAAGGUAUUCAAAAAACAUCAUCUUAUAAUUUAGAAGAAUCGGUUACAAAUAAAAUGAGUACAAAUAGUGUCACUCUCAGUGACAGAAACAAAUUCUCGAACAAUAAAAGCAACUUACAAAUUAAUUCGAACAACAACAAUAUAAAUAAAAAUAACAUGAACGAGUCAUGUAAUAAUAAGUUAGGCAAAUCAAAAAAAUAUUUAACAGCAUCGGAAUAUAAUAGUAGCAAUUCUAAAACUUUAAAUAACGUAUCAACACAUAGUUUAAACAAUUUAAAAUAUUCCAACACUAAGUCAAAACAUGACAUGUUAAAGUUGAGUAGUAAUAGUAUGAGUUAUAAGAAUAAUCAUGAUUCGAGAAGUCAUGUUUUAAAAUCCACAAAUUAUAUAACAGAUACAAACAAAUUAACAGAAUUGAGUUUGAGAAGCUCGAAAAAUAAUUACACUAAUGAAACAUCAGUCAAUUUAGUUACAUCAGUAUAUGAUAAUAAACAAAAUGCAAACAGAAAUUCUGCAUCAAAUGAAUAUGUUUUAUCUAACGAAAAUAAAAACAACUAUAACUUAAAUCAAAGUGAAAAGAUAUACAAAAAAAAAAAUAUUAAUCACCACGAACCAUUUAUUACAUCUAUAAAUAAUGAAGAAGAACAAAAUAUAAAUAUGAAUUUGUUACAACAAUCUAUAAAAAAUAUACAAGAGCAAUUGAAACAUAAAAUGUUAGAAAGUACUGGUACAUUUUCGAGUACUAAAAGUAAAAAGUACAAUACGCAAGGUACUAAUCAGAGUUUUGAAAAUGGUACUAGUACGAGUGGACUUACGAAUAUUGAAUCGAAGCAUAGUCGCAAUGGUAUGGGAAAUAAUAGUAUAAGCAAUGGUAUGGGAAAUAAUNNNNNNNNNNUAGUAUAAGCAAUGGUAUGGGAAAUAAUAGUAUAAGCAAUGGUAUGGAAAAUAAUAGUAUAAGCAAUGGUAUAGGAAAUAAUAGUAUAAGCAAUGGUAUGAGAAAUAGUACAAGCAAUGGUGUGCGGAAUAGUACAAUCAAUAGUAUGGCCAAUAGUAUACCCGAAUCAACUUAUUCAUAUAACCACGAAAACCCAAAUAAUUCAAACUUGUUUUAUGAUUUAUCAAAAUCAAAUACAUGUUCUCAAAAUUAUAUGAAUAGUUAUAAUUCCAAUACAUCUAACAAUAUGCAUAUAAGUACUUUGAAUUUGUCUAACUGUAGUGGAAACCCAAACGAAUUAACAGAAAAUGGCAACUUUCAGUCUAACAAUGGGAUUACAAAAUUAUUAAUGAAAGAACAAUUUGUUAAUGUCGAUUUGCAUAUAUCGUAUACAGAAAAUGAAAUACAAAAUAAGAUAAAAGACUUUGACAAGUACAUAAGUCAAGCUUUUGAAAGUAAAUGUGAUAGAGUCUUAAACAAAAUUGAGAACUUGCUUGCUUGCUUGUAGUUUUUUUAAAGACUAGCAAAAGGGUGGGGUUAGCUAAACAUAUAAGUAUGCGUAUAUGCAAAAAAACAAAAAAACAAAAAAACAAAAAAACAAAAAAAACAAAAAAAAAAACAAAAAAAAACAAAUGGAGAAGUAAAAAAAAAAAAAAAAAUUAUUUUUUUUUUUAAUGCAGUUUAUUUUUACACUCAUUAAAUGUGUGCAUAUAUCUAUGUACAUAUCUCUGUAGAAGCAUAUGCAUUUUACCAUUUGUAAAUAAACAAUUUUCUUUUCUAAUAAAUAACUGUCUU
ensembl:lncRNA